rnacentral:rRNA from 1 species
CAUAUCAAUAAGCGGAGGAAAAGAAACCAACAGGGAUUGCCCUAGUAACGGCGAGUGAAGCGGCAACAGCUCAAAUUUGAAAUCUGGCUCUCGGGCCCGAGUUGUAAUUUGUAGAGGAUACUUUUGAUGCGGUGCCUUCCGAGUUCCCUGGAACGGGACGCCAUAGAGGGUGAGAGCCCCGUCUGGUUGGAUGCCAAAUCUCUGUAAAGUUCCUUCAACGAGUCGAGUAGUUUGGGAAUGCUGCUCUAAAUGGGAGGUAUAUGUCUUCUAAAGCUAAAUACCGGCCAGAGACCGAUAGCGCACAAGUAGAGUGAUCGAAAGAUGAAAAGCACUUUGAAAAGAGAGUUAAAAAGUACGUGAAAUUGUUGAAAGGGAAGCGUUUAUGACCAGACUUGGGCUUGGUUAAUCAUCUGGGGUUCUCCCCAGUGCACUUUUCCAGUCCAGGCCAGCAUCAGUUUUCCCCGGGGGAUAAAGGCGGCGGGAAUGUGGCUCUCUUCGGGGAGUGUUAUAGCCCACCGUGUAAUACCCUGGGGGGGACUGAGGUUCGCGCAUCUGCAAGGAUGCUGGCGUAAUGGUCAUCAACGACCCUC